rnacentral:rRNA from 1 species
UACGUAGGAGGCGAGCGUGGUCCGGAUUUACUGGGCGUAAAGCGCGCGCAGGCGGCAUGACAAGUAAGGUGUGAAAUCUCCCUGCUCAACGGGGAGGGUGCAUUUUAGACUGUCAAGCUAGAGGACGGUAGAGGGGGGUAGAAUUGCUGGUGUAGCGGUGAAAUGCGUAGAGAUCAGCAGGAAUACCCGUGGCGAAGGCGGCCCCCUGGGCCGAACCUGACGCUGAGGCGCGAAGGCUAGGGGAGCGAACGGG